AAAAUCGAAAAUUGGUAGACGCUGCGGACUUAAAUCCGUUGGCUUUAAAGACCGUGAGGGUUCAAGUCCCUCUACCCCCA
rnacentral:tRNA from 1 species